UACGGGGGGGGGCAAGCGUUGUUCGGAAUUACUGGGCGUAAAGGGCGCGUAGGCUGCUCGUUAAGUCGGGUGUGAAAACUCUGGGCUCAACCCAGAGCCUGCAUUCGAAACUGACGAGCUAGAGUUCUGGAGGGGAAAGCGGAAUUCCUGGUGUAGCGGUGAAAUGCGUAGAUAUCACUUGGAACGCCAAUGGUGAAAACAGCUCGCUGGGAAUGAAUCUGACACUGAGACGCGAAAGCCAGGGAGCGAACGGG
rnacentral:rRNA from 1 species